GCUAAUACCGCAUACGUCCUGAGGGAGAAAGUGGGGGAUCUUCGGACCUCACGCUAUCAGAUGAGCCUAGGUCGGAUUAGCUAGUUGGUGGGGUAAAGGCCUACCAAGGCGACGAUCCGUAACUGGUCUGAGAGGAUGAUCAGUCACACUGGAGCUGAGACACGGUCCAGACUCCUACGGGAGGCAGCAGUGGGGAAUAUUGGACAAUGGGCGAAAGCCUGAUCCAGCCAUGCC
rnacentral:rRNA from 1 species